rnacentral:rRNA from 1 species
CGGCGAGUGAAGCGGCAACAGCUCAAAUUUGAAAUCUGGCGUCUUUGGCGUCCGAGUUGUAAUUUGCAGAGGGCGCUUUGGCAUUGGCAGCGGUCCAAGUUCCUUGGAACAGGACGUCACAGAGGGUGAGAAUCCCGUACGUGGUCGCUAGCCUUUACCGUGUAAAGCCCCUUCGACGAGUCGAGUUGUUUGGGAAUGCAGCUCUAAAUGGGAGGUAAAUUUCUUCUAAAGCUAAAUACUGGCCAGAGACCGAUAGCGCACAAGUAGAGUGAUCGAAAGAUGAAAAGCACUUUGGAAAGAGAGUUAAAAAGCACGUGAAAUUGUUGAAAGGGAAGCGCUUGCAGCCAGACUUGCCUGUAGUUGCUCAUCCGGGUUUCUACCCGGUGCACUCUUCUAUAGGCAGGCCAGCAUCAGUUUGGGCGGUUGGAUAAAGGUCUCUGUCAUGUACCUCCUUUCGGGGAGAACUUAUAGGGGAGACGACAUGCAACCAGCCUGGACUGAGGUCCGCGCAUCUGCUAGGAUGCUGGCGUAAUGGCUGUAAGCGGCCCGUCUUGAAACACGGACCAAGGAGUCUAACAUCUAUGCGAGUGUUUGGGUGUCAAGCCCGAGCGCGUAAUGAAAGUGAACGGAGGUGGGAACCUUUCGGGGUGCACCAUCGACCGAUCCUGAUGUCUUCGGAUGGAUUUGAGUAAGAGCAUAGCUGUUGGGACCCGAAAGAUGGUGAACUAUGCUUGAAUAGGGUGAAGCCAGAGGAAACUCUGGUGGAGGCUCGCAGCGGUUCUGACGUGCAAAUCGAUCGUCAAAUUUGGGCAUAGGGGCGAAAGACUAAUCG